rnacentral:lncRNA from 10 species
AGGGUGGAGAGAAGAGGCAUUCCAGGUAACUGGAACAGGUGUGCUAAGGCAGUGGUCCCCAAACUUUUUCACACCAGGGAACGGUUUCAUGGAAGACAAUCCUUCCACAGACUGAGAAGUGAGUGGUAUAGUUUCAGGAUGAAACCGUUCCACCUCAGGUCAUCAGGCAUUAGAAUCUCAUAAGGAGCACACAGCCUAGAUCCCUCACAUGUGCAGCUCACAAUAAGGUUUGCACUUCUAUGAGAAUUUAAUGAAGCCACUGAUCUGAUAGGAGGCAGAGCUCAGGUGGUCAUGCUCACUCACUAGCUGCUUACCUCCUGCUGUAACAAAAUGACACAGACUGGGUAAUAUAUACGGCCCAGUUCCUAUAGGCCAUGGACUGGUACUGGUCCGCAGCCCAGAUGCUGGCGACUCCUAUAUAAGGCAUGGAGAUGAGGACCAUGGCAUGCUUUAAGAAUCACAACACAUUUAGUGAGACUAGAACAAAAGACACAAAGUCUGUGGGAAGGAAGUAGAAAGGAGAUAGUGAUGAAAUAUAAAUGUUGGAAAGGUUGUUUGGGGCCAGUUUUUGAAGGUCCUUUAAGUGAUUUAAAGGAAUUUUGAUCAUAUUUUAUAUUAAAGAUGGAGAAAUAUAUGUUGGAAAAUGAGAUGAAAUCAGAGUUGCUUGAAUUUAUUUCGAAAGAUUUUUUAAUAAUUGAAAAGAUGUAAACCUGAUAGAGACUAUUUGGCAGAGGACUAUGUGGUUCUGAAAUUGCCUUUAUCCUGUAGAGCACUUUUUAAUCAACAAUUUCGUGGAUGAUGAAAGCAGCUUUACCAAAGUGGUCAAUGACACAAAUCUGGAAGGAGGAGCCAAAAAAAAUUUGGCUGAUCAAAUUAAGAAUUUAAAAGACUAUUUAAUUCAUGCAUUCAAACAAUGAUUAUUAAGCAUCUAUUAUGUUUCAGGAAACUUUCCAAGUCCUUGGGGAUCCAGUGGUGAAAAGUUAAAGACCUUGACUUCAUAGAUUUUAUAUUCUAAGGAAGAAGGCUGAUGAAAAUUAAGCAAAUAAAUAUCUAAUAUAAUGUCAUGUCAUGACAAAAGAAGUGAAGGAAAUCACUAUAAUGAAAAAGACAACAGAGAGUAAUAGCAGAGGGAGACAUUCUGCAGGAAGAGAAUUCCGGGCAGGGGACCAGCAAGCACAAACGUCCUGAGAUGGGAACAAGCUUGGUCUGCGAGAAGAUUUCAAAGCAAAAGAGAAUUAGACACGGG